GGUUAAGCGACUAAGCGUACACGGUGGAUGCCCUGGCAGUCAGAGGCGAUGAAGGACGUGCUAAUCUGCGAUAAGCGUCGGUAAGGUGAUAUGAACCGUUAUAACCGGCGAUUUCCGAAUGGGGAAACCCAGUGUGAUUCGUCACACUAUCAUUAACUGAAUCCAUAGGUUAAUGAGGCGAACCGGGGAACUGAAACAUCUAAGUACCCCGAGGAAAAGAAAUCAACCGAGAUUCCCCCAGUAGCGGCGAGCGAACGGGGAGCAGCCCAGAGCCUGAAUCAGUGUGUGUGUUAGUGGAAGCGUCUGGAAAGGCGCGCGAUACAGGGUGACAGCCCCGUACACAAAAAUGCACAUACUGUGAGCUCGAUGAGUAGGGCGGGACACGUGGUAUCCUGUCUGAAUAUGGGGGACCAUCCUCCAAGGCUAAAUACUCCUGACUGACCGAUAGUGAACCAGUACCGUGAGGGAAAGGCGAAAAGAACCCCGGCGAGGGGAGUGAAAAAGAACCUGAAACCGUGUACGUACAAGCAGUGGGAGCACAGAGCAAUCUGUGUGACUGCGUACCUUUUGUAUAAUGGGUCAGCGACUUAUAUUCUGUAGCAAGGUUAACCGAAUAGGGGAGCCGAAGGGAAACCGAGUCUUAACUGGGCGUUAAGUUGCAGGGUAUAGACCCGAAACCCGGUGAUCUAGCCAUGGGCAGGUUGAAGGUUGGGUAACACUAACUGGAGGACCGAACCGACUAAUGUUGAAAAAUUAGCGGAUGACUUGUGGCUGGGGGUGAAAGGCCAAUCAAACCGGGAGAUAGCUGGUUCUCCCCGAAAGCUAUUUAGGUAGCGCCUCGUGAAUUCAUCUCCGGGGGUAGAGCACUGUUUCGGCAAGGGGUCAUCCCGACUUACCAACCCGAUGCAAACUGCGAAUACCGGAGAAUGUUAUCACGGGAGACACACGGCGGGUGCUAACGUCCGUCGUGAAGAGGGAAACAACCCAGACCGCCAGCUAAGGUCCCAAAGUCAUGGUUAAGUGGGAAACGAUGUGGGAAGGCCCAGACAGCCAGGAUGUUGGCUUAGAAGCAGCCAUCAUUUAAAGAAAGCGUAAUAGCUCACUGGUCGAGUCGGCCUGCGCGGAAGAUGUAACGGGGCUAAACCAUGCACCGAAGCUGCGGCAGCGACACUGUGUGUUGUUGGGUAGGGGAGCGUUCUGUAAGCCUGUGAAGGUGUACUGUGAGGUAUGCUGGAGGUAUCAGAAGUGCGAAUGCUGACAUAAGUAACGAUAAAGCGGGUGAAAAGCCCGCUCGCCGGAAGACCAAGGGUUCCUGUCCAACGUUAAUCGGGGCAGGGUGAGUCGACCCCUAAGGCGAGGCCGAAAGGCGUAGUCGAUGGGAAACAGGUUAAUAUUCCUGUACUUGGUGUUACUGCGAAGGGGGACGGAGAAGGCUAUGUUGGCCGGGCGACGGUUGUCCCGGUUUAAGCGUGUAGGCUGGUUUUCCAGGCAAAUCCGGAAAAUCAAGGCUGAGGCGUGAUGACGAGGCACUACGGUGCUGAAGCAACAAAUGCCCUGCUUCCAGGAAAAGCCUCUAAGCAUCAGGUAACAUCAAAUCGUACCCCAAACCGACACAGGUGGUCAGGUAGAGAAUACCAAGGCGCUUGAGAGAACUCGGGUGAAGGAACUAGGCAAAAUGGUGCCGUAACUUCGGGAGAAGGCACGCUGAUAUGUAGGUGAAGCGACUUGCUCGUGGAGCUGAAAUCAGUCGAAGAUACCAGCUGGCUGCAACUGUUUAUUAAAAACACAGCACUGUGCAAACACGAAAGUGGACGUAUACGGUGUGACGCCUGCCCGGUGCCGGAAGGUUAAUUGAUGGGGUUAGCGCAAGCGAAGCUCUUGAUCGAAGCCCCGGUAAACGGCGGCCGUAACUAUAACGGUCCUAAGGUAGCGAAAUUCCUUGUCGGGUAAGUUCCGACCUGCACGAAUGGCGUAAUGAUGGCCAGGCUGUCUCCACCCGAGACUCAGUGAAAUUGAACUCGCUGUGAAGAUGCAGUGUACCCGCGGCAAGACGGAAAGACCCCGUGAACCUUUACUAUAGCUUGACACUGAACAUUGAGCCUUGAUGUGUAGGAUAGGUGGGAGGCUUUGAAGUGUGGACGCCAGUCUGCAUGGAGCCGACCUUGAAAUACCACCCUUUAAUGUUUGAUGUUCUAACGUGGACCCGUGAUCCGGGUUGCGGACAGUGUCUGGUGGGUAGUUUGACUGGGGCGGUCUCCUCCUAAAGAGUAACGGAGGAGCACGAAGGUUGGCUAAUCCUGGUCGGACAUCAGGAGGUUAGUGCAAUGGCAUAAGCCAGCUUGACUGCGAGCGUGACGGCGCGAGCAGGUGCGAAAGCAGGUCAUAGUGAUCCGGUGGUUCUGAAUGGAAGGGCCAUCGCUCAACGGAUAAAAGGUACUCCGGGGAUAACAGGCUGAUACCGCCCAAGAGUUCAUAUCGACGGCGGUGUUUGGCACCUCGAUGUCGGCUCAUCACAUCCUGGGGCUGAAGUAGGUCCCAAGGGUAUGGCUGUUCGCCAUUUAAAGUGGUACGCGAGCUGGGUUUAGAACGUCGUGAGACAGUUCGGUCCCUAUCUGCCGUGGGCGCUGGAGAAUUGAGGGGGCUGCUCCUAGUACGAGAGGACCGGAGUGGACGCAUCACUGGUGUUCGGGUUGUCAUGCCAAUGGCACUGCCCGGUAGCUAAAUGCGGAAGAGAUAAGUGCUGAAAGCAUCUAAGCACGAAACUUGCCCCGAGAUGAGUUCUCCCUGACCCUUUAAGGGUCCUGAAGGAACGUUGAAGACGACGACGUUGAUAGGCCGGGUGUGUAAGCGCAGCGAUGCGUUGAGCUAACCGGUACUAAUGAACCGUGAGGCUUAACCUU
rnacentral:rRNA from 1 species